GCUUUCACAAGCUCUCAACCUCACGCACCCGUCUCAUCUGGAAACAGGCCUGGAGUUCUCAAUGGGACCUUGCUAAACCCCUGUCCAGACCAGUGCCCCAAUGGUCUUUUUGGAAGUCCUCCUUGUGCCUGUGGAAUCUUUACAAACACUCAGCCUCACGCACCCGUCCCAUCUGGAAACAGGCCUGCCGUGCUCAAUGGGAACUUGGUGAACCCCUGCCCAGACCAGUGCCCCAAUGGUCUUUUGGGAAACCCUCCUUGUGUCUGUGGGGUGACCAGACACUGAGCCUCUGGUGAACUAUGGACGCAGCCUAUAAAGAACAGGACAUGUCCAGAAGGGCGGCACCGUAGAUCCUAUAUACAUCCACCAUGUGACCUCAGCCCCGGAUACAGGGGCCUCAAACUUUUUAUAAAUAAAAACCAUUAUUAUCAGCA